rnacentral:ncRNA from 2 species
UUCUUUCAUCACGGAUGAGGUUUUACUUAACGUAAAUUAAUAGGGAAUUGUGUGUAAAUCGCAAGCUGUCCCGCAACUGUAAGUAACGCAAAAGUUUUUACCCGUUGUUGUCCACUGUUCUGAUUAUUGUCGGGAUGGGAAGGACGGUAAAAAUGUUACGAGCCAGGAGACCUGCCUUCUCUGUAUUGACAAU